rnacentral:rRNA from 1 species
AUUGAACGCUGGCGGCAGGCCUAACACAUGCAAGUCGAGCGGAUGAAGGGGGCUUGCUCCUGGAUUCAGCGGCGGACGGGUGAGUAAUGCCUAGGAAUCUGCCUGGUAGUGGGGGAUAACGUCCGGAAACGGGCGCUAAUACCGCAUACGUCCUGAGGGAGAAAGUGGGGGAUCUUCGGACCUCACGCUAUCAGAUGAGCCUAGGUCGGAUUAGCUAGUUGGUGGGGUAAAGGCCUACCAAGGCGACGAUCCGUAACUGGUCUGAGAGGAUGAUCAGUCACACUGGAACUGAGACACGGUCCAGACUCCUACGGGAGGCAGCAGUGGGGAAUAUUGGACAAUGGGCGAAAGCCUGAUCCAGCCAUGCCGCGUGUGUGAAGAAGGUCUUCGGAUUGUAAAGCACUUUAAGUUGGGAGGAAGGGCAGUAAGUUAAUACCUUGCUGUUCUGACGUUACCAACAGAAUAAGCACCGGCUAACUUCGUG